rnacentral:rRNA from 1 species
UACCAGCACCCCGAGUGGUCGGGACGAUUAUUGGGCCUAAAGCAUCCGUAGCCGGCUCUACAAGUCUUCCGUUAAAUCCACCUGCUUAACAGAUGGGCUGCGGAGGAUACUAUGGAGCUAGGAGGCGGGAGAGGCAAGCGGUACUUAGUGGGUAGGGGUAAAAUCCGUUGAUCCAUUGAAGACCACCAGUGGCGAAGGCGGCUUGCCAGAACGCACUCGACGGUGAGGGAUGAAAGCUGGGGGAGCAAACCGG